UGUAAUUUAUUUGGUCAAGUCAUCUUUGUAAGUGACAUGAUAUCAUUACAAUGAUGGAAUAAAUGUUGGGAGAAUUUAUUGAUAUUUCCUCCUCAAGUUGAUAAUGUCUCCUCAGAGCACGCGCUAUCGUGAUACGAGUUUUACGGAUACGUUGAGGAAACAGAUAUAGCUGUAGGGAAGGAUGAUAAAUGUACAUACAGAGACUGUUUGAAUUUAAGGUGAAAUUUGUAUUAGUAAAUGAAUCAAAUAAAGAAUCUUCAUGGUUAAAUGCAUAGAAAGGAUAUUUGAAGAGAGCCAAUGAUUGACAUAAGGAGAAGCAGUUAUGAAUUUUGAAAUUGAUAUAAAGGAGAGGUCAUUCAUCACAGAAGAUUUAAUCCAAGUUUACAGUAUGUUGAGAGAAGUUCAGAACAAGCAAUUUGGUUGAAGAGGAGUUGUCAACACGUCAUCUUUGAAUAAGGUCAAUUGUAUUAGAAGUAAAUCCUUAACAGAAAUGAGACAAUAAUCAAACAAUUCAAAGACUACAUGGAUGUUAUCUGGACUAGCAUUUGUAUGACCUAAAUGUGGUAUUUUUCAUAUGAACACUUACAAGGCAGAUACUAGUCUGUGACAAACAUUUGUAUGCAAUUAAAGACUGAAGAACUAAUGUACGGUAUUCUUCAGAUUUCAGUAGAAUUUGUUUAAAACGGUACAUUCUUGGUAUGAAUUGAAGAAUUUUUGCUCAUUUUAAUGAAUUAUGAAAAUGUUUUAUAUGUUUAGAAUAAACAAAAACAACAUAAAAGAUA